GAUGUAGCUCAGUGGUAGAGGGCUUGCCAAACAUGCAAAAGGUCCCGGAUUCAAUCCCCAGCACA
rnacentral:tRNA from 1 species